GGCUGGAGUCAUCUCAGGUUAAUGGUCUUAGAGAGGUCAUCAUGCAUAGAGCUGACCAGGUCCAAUGAUGCUUCCCAUCCCUGGCAACUCUGUACCACCAUCUGGUGCAGGGCUUGCCAUGGGCCCCUUCCAGCCUGUAGCUGCUGUGUCAAAUGAGAGUGAGGCCCUGGUAGACUCCCUGGCAAGAAGAAGACAGUGUGUUUAUAUUUACACAUAUUUGUAUAUAUGUGUG